UUGUUGUUUGUCGCUCUUUAGACGGGCUCCCUGAAUUUGCAGAGAUUAUUCAGAUGUGUAUAGUGCAGAAGGGACUGUGUUUUGUACUUAAAGGUCUGUGUGGUUGGUAUAGGGAGCAUUUUAGGGCCUUUGAACUGACCUCUUCUCCAUCAAGGGAGAUUUUCUUUCUUGAACUAAGUGAAUUAGCUGAUGGAUAUCCAUUGGCUGACUACAAGGUAGGAGGUCUUCGUUUGGUGUCACUGAAAAGACAAAUUCAUUCAUAACAGGUGCCAUUUAAAUAUUUCUUGUUUAACUGUAUGAAUGAAGCUUAUGUACCUACAGUGCAAACAAUACAGUUCUUUUUUUUUUCUCAUCAACAGGAUUGUAAAAAUGACCUCCACCAUCAUCCUGCGUGUAAUUCUGGGAGAGAACAGUGCACAGAAAGUGACACUUCAGAAUGGAGUCCUUUGUUCUUUGGCAGAGUUAAUGAAUGAGAUACAGACACAGUGUAAUUUAAUGGGAGAAUUCAGACUUCAAAUCAUGGACCCUGACUUACAAGAUUUUGUGAACCUGACUUCCACAACUGAUGUUCAGAACAAAAGCACCCUUAAGGUCAUCAAACUCUGUGACUCUUUAGCAGUAUCUCCAUCUCCCUCAUCAUGUGACACAGACAUUCUGUCUUCAAGAUCAUCCUCUGAAGUAUCACAUUCUUCAUCCCUUGACCCCCAAGAGUUGACUUUGAAUACAAGGUCUUCUUGGCCAACCUGUUUUGUUGUGCCCCGUUUCUCCUAUGAUGCAGAAAUUAAGCUGGAACAAGGCAAUUCAGAAUACCAAAAAAAUGGCAUUCUGCUGAAUCCAGACCCAAAGCUGAAAUCAGACAUUUUGUAUGGACUUGCUGAAGAAAUAGUAAAAUUCAAAGUGUACCUUUCUGAUGCUGAAUUCAGUGAAGUGGCUGAAGCUCUUAUAAAACGGCAUCCUUGCCUUAAGGAACAAGGAUCCUUAACAGGCUGCAGUGGCUGGAAAAGAAGCCUUAAAUAUAAAAUGUCAAAUUACAGAACCAAGCUGCGAAAUCUUGGUUGUAGUGAAGUGACUGCAAAUGCCAUGAAGCACAAACCUAUGGGUGUAAGCAAUCCAGCUUUUGGGGUCAAGAAGCCACGCAAGGCUGAAGUUAACUUUUGUCCCUCAUUUCUUCCUGGUGAAACUCCUGACAGCAUGGAGCAAAUAAGAGUCUCCCUUCUUUCUGAGGUUAAGAAGAACAACGAGCAAACUCUGGACCUAUGGACCUAUCAUUUGCAUUGAGAAGACAAGAGGUUGUCAAAGAAUCUCCACUUAUUGUUGACUUUAUGGGCAGAUGGCCAGCUUUGUUCCAAGAAAAUGAGGUUUGUGCUGAAUUUGCACGGGUAACAACUGUCGCCUUAAUUUCAAAAUUCUUCUCAAAGCUGGAUGAACACACUCCAAGUCUUCUGAGGAUAUUUGCCAAGAGAGGUGGAGCUCAGGGACGAAGGAUAAGAAAACUUCUUGUGCCACUUACAAAGUGUGCCUGCAUUAAUGUUAAGAGGGAGUGUGUCCUCAAAGCCCUGUUUGUCUACCUAAAUGAGGAUCCUGACAAUCUCAUCAAGGAGUACAUGGAUGUCGACUUUUCCAACGCUGAAACUGCAUUCAAAGAGAUGGUGAUGGGCGUUUUUGUCAUCAGAUGUGAUGGAGGUGAAGGAUGUGAAGGAUGUGAAGAUGAACCUGCGGACGUUGGAGUAGUUCUUGAAGGAGUUACAGCACUAGAAGGGCUUGGUAAUGUAACUAAUGGUGUUGCAUUGCUGAUUGGGCUAAUAUAUGCCCUAAAUCUAAGUUAUCCGAAGGAGCUUCGAUACACCUUUGAACUCCUGCAAAAAGUGUUCCUGGAGCUUGAUGGACACAAACUCUCCACCAAAGUUCAAGCGCUCAAGACCAAGCUUUUUACACCCUGAAUCUAUAACUAAUUGUUUUUGUGUCAAAUACUCAAAGCAAGUUCAUGUUUCAUGUUCACACAUUUUAAUGCCUUUAUUGAGUUUUGCCUUUUUUUAUGUUUUUGUACAUAAGGGCAUAUGUAAAGAGGAAUAGUUUCCUAAAAAUUCAAAAUUUUCCUAAAAAAAAGUCAGAAGGUCAAGGAAAACCAUCAGGGGUUUAGGGGUUUCAACGACACAGGGGUUAGUUAAUGUUGACAAUUUAAUUUUUUUUUUUUUCUUUUAAACAAUUUUUGUUUAACUGAUGGUUUUAAUGGCUUCUGAGUGUUCUUGAAGGAAAGACGUUUUAAUGAAAAUGUAUUUUAAAUAGUUUUCAAAGAUGUUCUACAUAGCACAUGUAUUUGUUUGUCCUUCACAAAAAUUAUGCAGGCACAUUUUGGAAUUAGAAUAGAAUUACA